rnacentral:rRNA from 1 species
AAGAUGAGCAUGCGCUCCCAUUAUGCUAUGUUGGUAAGGUAACGGCUUACCGAGGCUACGAUGGGGAGGGGUCCUGAGAGGGAGAUCCCCCACACUGGUACUGAGACGCGGACCAGACUCCUACGGGAGGCAGCAGUGAAGGAAUAUUGGACAAUGGGCGCAAGCCUGAUCCAGCCAUGCCGCGUGCAGGAUGACGGUCCUAUGGAUUGCAAACUGCUUUUGUACAGGAAGAAACAGUUCUACGUGUAGAACCUUGACGGUACUGUAAGAAUAAGGAUCGGCUAACUCCGUGCCAGCAGCCGCGGUAAUACAGAGGAUCCAAGCGUUAUCCCGAAUCAUUGGGUUAAAAGG